rnacentral:rRNA from 1 species
AUGUUAGCCGGGCGACGGUUGUCCCGGUUUAAGCAUGUAGGCGGAGGUUCCAGGUAAAUCCGGUACCUUUUAACGCUGAGGUGUGAUGACGAGGCACUACGGUGCUGAAGUAACAAAUGCCCUGCUUCCAGGAAAAGCCUCUAAGCAUCAGGUAACAUUAAAUCGUACCCCAAACCGACACAGGUGGUCAGGUAGAGAAUACCAAGGCGCUUGAGAGAACUCGGGUGAAGGAACUAGGCAAAAUGGUGCCGUAACUUCGGGAGAAGGCACGCUGGUGUGUAGGUGAAGUCCCUGCGGAUGGAGCUGAGACCAGUCGAAGAUACCAGCUGGCUGCAACUGUUUAUUAAAAACACAGCACUGUGCAAACACGAAAGUGGACGUAUACGGUGUGACGCCUGCCCGGUGCCGGAAGGUUAAUUGAUGGGGUUAUCCGUAAGGAGAAGCUC